rnacentral:misc_RNA from 1 species
UGAGGCUGUUCCAUUAGUUCUU